GGGGGCGUAAAGGUUUCGACGGGGAUCUUGCAGUAUGGUAAGCGAGCAGAGGCCGGGCAAACUCUCAAACAGGCCCAACAAAAAAUAAACGCUAAUAAUCAAAAAGUAGCACUGGCAGCCUAAGGGCUGUGCUGUGGCUGUAUGCCACCCGUUUCCCCCGGAGGACCGCGGCCGGGUGUGAAACGUCAAAAAGCGGUGAACGUGAACCUCCCGUUUGCUUUUGAAGAGGUCAUGACCAAAAAAGCUACCCGACAUAGCCGUUUGCCGAUGGGCGACCGUGCCGGGGAAUUCUAACCAUCGGCUGCGCUCGGAGAAAACCAUAUGAACAGGUUUUCGGACAGGGGUUCGACUCCCCUCGCCUCCACCA
rnacentral:tmRNA from 1 species